rnacentral:rRNA from 1 species
UACGGGGGGGGGCAAGCGUUGUUCGGAAUUACUGGGCGUAAAGGGCUCGUAGGCGGCCAACUAAGUCGGAUGUGAAAUCCCCAAGCUUAACUUGGGAACUGCAUCCGAUACUGGAUGGCUUGAAUUCGGGAGAGGGAUGCAGAAUUCCAGGUGUAGCGGUGAAAUGCGUAGAUAUCUGGAGGAAUACCGGUGGCGAAGGCGGCAUCCUGGACCGACAUUGACGCUGAGGAGCGAAAAGCUAGGGGGAGCAAACGGG